GAUGAACGCUAGCGGCAUGCCUAAUACAUGCAAGUCGAACGAGAUACAACUUUGUAUCUAGUGGCGAACGGGUGAGUAACACGUAUUUGAUCUACCCCCAAGUGGGGAAUAACAAUUGGAAACGAUUGAUAAUACCGCAUAUGACAUAAAUUACGUUUUUAUUGUUGUAAAGGAAGCGUCAGCUUCGCUUGUGGAUGAGAAUGCGGCGUAUUAGUUAGUUGGUGGGGUAAAGUAGCCUACCAAGACAAUAGAUACGUAGCCGAACUGAGAGGUUGAUCGGCCACCAUCGGGACGUGAGACACGGCCCGGGACUUCUACGGAAGGGCAGCAGUAAGGAAUUUUUUCUACAAUGGGCGAAAGACCUGAUGAAGCAGUGCCGCGUGAUUGACGAAGGUCUUCGGAUUGUAAAGAUCUGUGGUUAGGAAUGAAAGGCAAGAAAUAGGAAAUGAUUUUUUGCCUGACAGUACCUAAUUAGAAAGUCACGGCUAACUACGUGCCAGCAGCCGC
rnacentral:rRNA from 1 species